AAUGAAAGAAGGGGAGUUCCCUAACCUCCGAGUCUUCUGAUAAUUUUUUCCGUCUUGAGAAAUUGGCUGUGAACCAGUGUAGGAAGCUUGAAGAGGUCCCUUCUUGUUUAGGGGAAUGUGAGACUCUUGAAAUGAUUGAGGUGAAAUGGUGCCGCGAGUCUGUUGCAAAUUCUGUAAAGCAAAUUCAGCAAGAACAGAUGGAUCUGGGAAAUACGGAUCUAAAGAUCGUAAUUGAAGAUUGUUAUGAUGAUACACCCAUUCUCUCCAAAGAAUAGUCGAAUUCCUCACAAGCAGAGUCAAUUCCCUUAGAGGCAGAGGAGAUUUCCUCUCACCACACUUGAUCAGGUUUCCUCGGCAGGAGAGCCUUUUUCUUCUCACCACACCAGACAAGGGUGAAGACUCAAGCAUUCAUCGUCUCUUCUUGAUUCCUCGUGCCUCUUCUUUAUCUGUACAUACGUUGUAUCAGUUUGAUGACAUAAUAGUUCAUUUGUACUGAAGCAAUUUUUAGAGCUUCCAGAUUAUUUGGUUUGAACUUGAUGCAGCUGUAUUACUUUGUCAUUGCAGGGGCAAGCACAGUCAUGCAUUCUAUCAGUCCAACAUUAUCCGUCAUAAUCUAUUUGUAAAAUGUUCUCCAUGCCCUCUUCUGGUUUGAUGUUUAUUAGUGUUUAUGAACCCAAUUUUUGAAAUCUUCUUCAUGUUCUUUUCUAGUUCGAGGUUCAAUAUGCUUGUAUAUCAUCAUCCCAGUUUGUUAAAUCUUCUUUGAUGCAGCUAAGAUUGAUGUGAUGCUUAUAAGUUAAAACCAGCUAAGAUUGAUGUCAUGCUAGAUAAACUUUUCUGUUCCUUUAUUGUAUCACAGAUAAGAGUAAUACAUAUAAUUGUAACUUGCUUCUGUUUA